GAUGAACGCUGGCGGCAGGCCUAACACAUGCAAGUCGAGCGGACAAGUGUCUUGCGUACCUUGCGAGCGUUGUACGCGUGCGGAACACGAGUGCAUGGUGCCCCUAUCAGUGGGACAGGCUUUAGUACGGGAGAUUAAUGCCCCAUCCUGUAUUUGAUGUCAUCCUCAGAUUUUGAAAGCUUAGGCGGAUAUUGAUGGCCAUUCGCCAUAUUAGCUAGGUGGUAAGGUAACGGCUCAACAAGGCGACGAUCCGAAGCAGACCUGAGUGGGUGAUCGGCCACACUGGAACUGAGACACGGUCCAGACUCCUAAGGGAGGCAGCAGUAGGGAAUCUUCCGCAAUGGGCGAAAGCCUGACGGAGCAACGCCGCGUGAGUGAUGAAGGUCUUCGGAUCGUAAAACUCUGUUAUUAGGGAAGAACAAAUGUGUAAGUAACUAUGCACGUCUUGACGGUACCUAAUCAGAAAGCCACGGCUAACUACGUG
rnacentral:rRNA from 1 species